rnacentral:rRNA from 1 species
CAGUAGCCGCGGGAACACGUAGGUGGCGAGCGUUGUCCGGAAUUAUUGGGCGUAAAGGGAGCGCAGGCGGACAUAUAAGUCCAUCUUAAAAGUGCGGGGCUCAACCCCGUGAGGGGAUGGAAACUGUAUGCCUUGAGUGCAGGAGAGGAAAGCGGAAUUCCCAGUGUAGCGGUGAAAUGCGUAGAUAUUGGGAGGAACACCAGUGGCGAAGGCGGCUUUCUGGACUGCAUCUGACGCUCAUGCACGAAAGCGUGGGGAGCAAACAGGAUUAGAUACCCCUGUAGUCCCUGUCUCUUAUACC